GACGAACGCUGGCGGCGUGCUUAACACAUGCAAGUCGAACGAUGAAGCCUAGCUUGCUAGGUGGAUUAGUGGCGAACGGGUGAGUAAUACGUGAGUGACCUACCUUUGACUCUGGGAUAAGCCUGGGAAACUGGGUCUAAUACCGGAUACGACCAAUCUCCGCAUGGGGUGUUGGUGGAAAGCGUUAUGGAGUGGUUUUAGAUGGGCUCACGGCCUAUCAGCUUGUUGGUGAGGUAAUGGCUUACCAAGGCGACGACGGGUAGCCGGCCUGAGAGGGUGACCGGCCACACUGGGACUGAGACACGGCCCAGACUCCUACGGGAGGCAGCAGUGGGGAAUAUUGCACAAUGGGCGCAAGCCUGAUGCAGCGACGCCGCGUGAGGGAUGACGGCCUUCGGGUUGUAAACCUCUGUUAGCAUCGAAGAAGCGAAAGUGACGGUAGGUGCA
rnacentral:rRNA from 1 species